rnacentral:lncRNA from 1 species
UAUCUUGUAAUAUUAGAAAGGCUCGCUAAUCCAUCAGUUUCAAUGGAAAAAUGUUUGCGAUAGGGAACGCAAUUUCUUUAUUUGCUAAAUCUGGGUAGCAGGUACAUAGGUUUCCUCUACGGUUAAGAUUUUCUACAAUGACAUUUUUAAUUUAAUCAAUUAAUUAAUUAAUUUUUAUAAUUUUUUAAGGGCGGGAGGCCGGGGGGCGGAACAAUAGGGGCAGGCGUGAAGGCCGGGGCCCCGCGGGCGCGCAGAGGAGGAAGGGUGGGUGGAGGAGGAGGAGGGAGAAGGCGGAAAUAGACUCCGGGCGGGUGGAGGGCGGCGGAGGGCUAGUUGGCCGGCAGCGGGGAGAGGGCGCUGGCUGCGACUGCCAUGGCUCCGGCUGCUGCCUCUGCUUGUCUUAAAAUGAUAUCCUAAACAAUGAGUUUUUUAAAAUUCAUGAGCCAUCAUACUGAGGAAAUGCAGUAAUCUCUUGACUGAUUAAGUUGUGGCAGCAGAGGAAGAAGGUGUCUAAGGUCUCCUGACUGGAGAGCACUUCCACUAGAAAUCCUAUGCCCUGAACCCUACUUCCUCUUUGGAGAAGCACCAAGAUGCUCUUGGAAACCUUUCAAAACAACUCCAGGCUUAUUGAGCACUCUUUAAAAGUGUGAGAUACAGCCCUAGAAGGAAGGUUGGAUUUCAAGACUGUUCUUCCAGGAGAGUGAAAGGUCGAUCUAAGAGUGAAGAAAUAACAAAAGUUAUUCUCAUCCUCCUUCAGUUCUUCUUCACUCUGACCUCCUCGUUCCUAAUGGGGGUUUGUGGUGUUGGCGACAUGGCAUUCAUGCAGGUGCCACUAGUGAAGCUGGGGAGUGUUGGGACAAGGUCAAGGCCGCACGAUCCAUACAUAUCAUGAUUGAGAUUGGGUCCUAGGAACUGAAGGCCCCGUGACUCUGAUCUCAUCUCUAUAUGUCCUUAAGGGAACCAUAACAAAGUACAUAUUAAAGGACAAAAAUUUGCCCUCUUUGAAGAUAUUAAAAAUAAUUUAUUGAGGCCAACUAGUAAAAAUAAGUCCAGGUCAAGAACUGCCUCGUUGGAGUAGGUGCCUAGUUACUGACAGUUAAAGAUAAAACUCAUUAGAAGAUGUAAAGCUUGAUAUAUUUUUGAAGGAAAGAAUUAUGUGACUUUAUGUGUGCAUUUCUUAUAGUUCUAGGUUGGUCUCACACACAAGUCAGUGCUAGAAAUAUUUUUUUCCAGUGAUGAUGAUAUGAUGAUAAGGCAAGUGAAAAUAACAAAGAAAAAUAGCUUCUCUUUGUUUGUUAUAAACUAACAAACAUGGCUUGUUGGAUGACAUGAAACAAAAACAUUGGCAGAGAAUUAAUCUUUCUUUCCAUUUAUGUUUGUGGAUGAGAAAACACUAGAAAUUUGAAGAGCGAAGCUGAAUUACAUGUGAUCCAAAAUACACAAUAUUUUAAUGACUGGGACUUCUUUGCAAAAGCUUAUCGCUGCAGUAAUUUAAUUUAUUGUAAAGAAGAUA